UGUUUGGGUCGUUCCCUACAUUCAGUCCUAAUUGAGCUCUCAGCUUUGAAUUUCCAAACAGGAAAUGUCUGCGCGAAUAAAGCCGCUGGUGAUGAGUAAAAUGAUUUCUGUCAUUUCCCUCCAAACUGGAAAAAGGAUUAAUUCAUAAGCCCUCAGCUCGUCCCCCCGGUGGGUAAUAAGACUUAAUCCACUAAGACCUCCUCCUUCUCCUCUCUGGGCUCGUCUCCUCACCCAUCUGCUGGGAGACAAAGAGGGAAUCCCUGCCUCCAUCUCAUUGUUCUGAUGCCGCCGCCUCCCUGCAUCCAUAAACACCCUUCAAUAAUAGAUGAGCAGCUCCUCCCUCCACGGCUCC
ensembl:lncRNA